UACGAAGGGGGCUAGCGUUGCUCGGAAUGACUGGGCGUAAAGGGCGCGUAGGCGGAGUGCUUUGUCGGGCGUGAAAUUCCAGGGCUCAACCUUGGGGCUGCGUUCGAGACGGGCAUUCUAGAGUUCGGAAGAGGGUCGUGGAAUUCCCAGUGUAGAGGUGAAAUUCGUAGAUAUUGGGAAGAACACCGGUGGCGAAGGCGGCGACCUGGUCCGAGACUGACGCUGAGGCGCGAAAGCAUGGGUAGCAAACAGG
rnacentral:rRNA from 1 species